UAUAAAUUUCGUACUGCAAACCGACUACAGGUGGACUAGUAUAUAUACUCAGGCCAUAGAAUCUACCAUGUUAAAGGAACUCGGCAAAAUGCACUCGUGACCUUGGAGGAUGAGUGGCUAAAUAGACACAGAAAAUAGCCGACAGCGACUGUUUACCAAAAACACAGGAUAGUGCUAACAGUUUCAUAUCUGGCUGUAUACUAUCCGACGCCUGCCCAAAGGCGAAAGCAAACGGCGGCAGUAACCCUGACUGUCCUAAGGUAGCGAAAUUCCUUGACGUUUAAUUGGCGUCCUUGCAUGAAUGGCUGAACGACUGUCGGGCUGUCUCUAACAUGGAAUCUGUGAAUUUGAAAUCUUCGUGCAGAUGCGAAGGUGCUGGCAAGGGACGAAGAGACCCUAUGCAGCUUUGCUGGGUGCGUAGAGUUAGUCGUGAAUUGUUACGGUGGAUAUUAACCUGACGGGAGCCUCUCCUUGUUACCACGUGUAUCCAGACAUUGACUCUAAGGCUCAAGCUUUUCUGGGACGGAUGCUUCCUGAAUAGUAACGGGAGUGAACAACGGUACUACUACGACUUAAAUAGAAAGUAGUGCUUGACUGCAAGAACCACUGUUCGAGCAGGGA
rnacentral:rRNA from 1 species